rnacentral:piRNA from 1 species
UGUCUGCUCAUCCUGGGUAACAUGUC